AAGGGGAGGGCUAGGUGGCUCGCAGCUGCGCUGGCUCUGGGACGCGCUCCCCUCGGAAGUGAUGGGGUGAGCAGGGGGGGACGACCUCUCUCCCUGCUUCAGCGCACAGCCGCCUAUGAGGAAGGCACCAGUGUCACCCCAACCCCACAGAGAAGGCGGGGACGCUCGGGGUGUCUUAGUUGCUUGUCCCAAGUCACAGCAGGAAGUGGUAGACUUUCUUAAUGGGGGAGAAGAGGGCUGUGAGGAGCGCGGCGUGUUGCCAUCUGCUUCGUGGACCUCUGCCUGGGCCGCGUCGGAGGGUUUCUCUCCGGGAGAGGCGAGUGGCUCCGUGAGUGGGAGCAGGUCCUAUAUGAUAGACUGUGGCUUGGGGACUGAUCUUGGGGUCAUCUAACUGCGUGGGUGCGGUAGACGUGCAAAUAGAGGACUUUGACUUUCUGAGCCUCGGCUUUCCUCGUCUGCGUAAAGGGAGCGGUAGCAGCCCACGCCAGCAUUACUGGGAGGAUUCAGCGAGUUAAUGUUUGCAGAAGUCCUUUGGAGACGGUGGUGGCCCCAUGGGUUUGCUUUUCCCCUACUCCGGACCCCUUCCCCACUCCUUAUUGUCAAGGUGGCGCCCAGAAGCGUCUGCUUUCUGCGGUGCUUAUGUGACGAAUCUGUUGGAUGGCGUUGGGUUAAGAGUGGUCCUCUGGGACCCAGAAUAGCUAACAGUGGCCACCCAUGAAGUGUCCCAGCCACCGGGGACUUCCCAUGCAGUCACCUCACCCUCACCUUACUCCCCAAGGUGGAUGGAUGCGACGGCCUGGAGAUGCCGAGGGCUGUCCUGCCAGCUCGUGGGGAGACCCCGUCCACCAGCAGCGUGGAAGCAGCAGGGCCAGGAGAUGGAGAAUCCAGAGAGAUUUCUUCACCUACAGGACCCAGCUGGGCAUGUCUCUGGACUUCUCAGUAAGUUCCGGAAGAAGAGGGUUUUCCAACAGUGGCUGCAGCAGGCAGGCCCCAAAGGCAGUUGUCAGUGAUUAUGAAGUAUCUACGAAGCGGAACAGCCUCUCGUCUCCAGCCUUUGGGGACCAGGAUGAGGGAAAAGAGAAGCAUGAUUCCUACCUACCAAGUUCUGUGAGGAUGAACUUUCAGGACGAGAGAGCGUGGGUGAAUCGAAGGAACUUGACCAAGACCCCACAGAGAGGAAGUGGACGAGUCAAGAUUCAACCGGGAUGUGUUGGACCUGGGCUGGUCCCUCCCUGCCUCAGACUUUGGGCCUCCCUCCUUGAACUUCAAGACGCGUGGGCCCCAGAACCCUUUCUAGUUCUCUCUGUCGCUAAGGGCAGGAACACGAGGGUCUGACGCCUAAAGGGAAGAAGCGCAUAAAUACUGGGAGACACGGAACGUGCCAGGAAUUCAGCAUUCGAAGCCCCUUUGGCAAGUUUUCACACUCGUUAAAUCUGGACGGCGUAUCGGAGGCGGCCGCCCCACACGGGAGGAACAGGAGGGUGACGAUUGUCCUGUGCGCCCAGCAGCGUCUGCCUGCGGGGUCUUCACGGGGGCGUCCAGGUAUCUUUCCAGAAGUCUUUACACACUUGGUAAGGACUCUCUAGCAGGGAUGGCCUGGUGUGCAGGGCCACCACGGACGCUUGUUGGGAGCUCAGCGUUUGUCGGGUGCCGUAUUAACUGCUUUACAUCCAUUGACGCGAUGAACUGUCACCCCACCUCCGUGGAGGGAGACUGUUUUUCUCCCUCUUACAGAGAUGAAGAAAUUGUGGCUGAUUAAGAUUAAGCCACCUGCCGGCGGGUCCCACGGCCCCUGAAGGAGGAGCUGGGCACCAAAGGCCCUGCAUGUGGCCAAGAGGCCCGUCGGGACAAAUCACACCAGCUGCCUUCAUACACUUAAUAUAAAGGACGGUGACCUAAGUAUUAAAGAAGUGCAGAGGCGAAGGGAGAAUACGAAGCCGCCGCUGAGGGCGUGAGUUUGGGGAGCGUCUGCCGCGCCAGGGCUGGGGGUCCCAGGGAAGGCCGGACCUGCCGAGACUUCGAAGGGCCUGAAGCGGGGCUCCGGCCGGCCGCAGCGCGGCACCGUGACCCUGCUGGGGCCACCGCGUCCCGGCUGGAUGCCGACACCAUCAGGAGGCCGGUGCUGGACGGGCAAGCAGGCGGGAGAGACCGUGCUUCCCCAUCCUCCAGCCCCUCCCAGCCGGCAGAGAAGACAGGUGGCGUCCAGAGCCCCAGCCCAGUGUCGCGGGAGAGCACAGAGGGCGGGUUGGGGCUCAGGGACAAUCCUUAAUCAUCACACGUCUGACAGCCUCCUUCUUUCCCUGCCUGAUGCCGGGCACCAGGAGGGCUUUAGGGAGAGUUUAGAUGGUGUCAGUCGGGACUGGCCCGAGAGGUGGGCCAGGUGCGUCAGGAUCCUUCGGUGAAGGCCUCUCGCUCCCAGGACCCCGGCCUUUGUUGUGUGUUCCCGAAGCGUGCGUUUCCGGAGGCAGCCCCACGGAG